GACGAACGCUGGCGGCGUGCCUAAUACAUGCAAGUCGAACGCUUCUUUCCUCCCGAGUGCUUGCACUCAAUUGGAAAGAGGAGUGGCGGACGGGUGAGUAACACGUGGGUAACCUACCCAUCAGAGGGGGAUAACACUUGGAAACAGGUGCUAAUACCGCAUAACAGUUUAUGCCGCAUGGCAUAAGAGUGAAAGGCGCUUUCGGGUGUCGCUGAUGGAUGGACCCGCGGUGCAUUAGCUAGUUGGUGAGGUAACGGCUCACCAAGGCCACGAUGCAUAGCCGACCUGAGAGGGUGAUCGGCCACACUGGGACUGAGACACGGCCCAGACUCCUACGGGAGGCAGCAGUAGGGAAUCUUCGGCAAUGGACGAAAGUCUGACCGAGCAACGCCGCGUGAGUGAAGAAGGUUUUCGGAUCGUAAAACUCUGUUGUUAGAGAAGAACAAGGACGUUAGUAACUGAACGUCCCCUGACGGUAUCUAACCAGAAAGCCACGGCUAACUACGUGCCAGCCGCCGCCGUAA
rnacentral:rRNA from 1 species